UCGUGAUAAUAUGAUUUAAGGCCGAAACAAUACAUAAUGUUACACGGCCUAAGUUUUUGAUACAAGGAGUAUCAAUAGUCAUCAACAAAUUUUUUUAACUGCAAUUCCAAAUUUGAGAUGAAUAAAUUAAUAAUAAUAAUCGUAAUAGACAACAAUGUUAUUGUUAAUUACGAAUUUACAACUUCAAAACAAGUGAUUAAAUAUAUUAAUAGGUAUCUCCAUUACAUGAAUUUAAGUAUAAUGAACAUAUUCUUGUAUAUGUUUUAUACAAUAUUUACUUUUUUAAUCUACUUCUUUCUACUUCUUUUUUAUAAGAUUUAUAAGAAUUCCAACAAUACUAAGGUAUAAAUAAUAAAUUAUAAUAGCUCAAGCUGUAUUUGGGUGUUAAAAAAUAAAUUUCUUAACAGCACCAUGAUAAAGUAAUAUUACCGGUAAUUUAUUCAAAUUUGUGCUUGGACACAUAACAAAUUGAAUCUUGGAUUAGUCAUGAGUAGAUUAGAUGACUGAAGUGGAGUGGUACAGAAGUAUUCCAUAAAAUGUUGAUUCUCUAAACCACUCAUCAAAAAAAUAAUUACUUAUAACCAAGACUAUAGAAUAUGGUAAGAGGUAUUUAGGAAAUAUAAAAAUUAUUGAUCCAACUCAAGAACGUAAAUAUGACAAAUUCAAUAAUUGCAGUUAGUAUAAUGCAUUGGAUAUAAUUUUAAAAAUAACCGAAUUAUUUUAAAUGAAUGAAAUAAAUGGUCCAGUGUGAUAGACGAUAAAAACCAAUAAUGUACUGCUGUAAAUGUGUAAACUGUGUAGGUACUAGGUACAUAUCAUACACUAGGAACAAAGAGACAAAAUAUACUUCAUAAUUUUAAAUGAAAUACUUAACAAAAACUUGACCAACAAAAUUCCAAAUUAUCACAUUACAAAACAAUUAAAAACGUCAAAAAAUAUUUUAAGUGUAAUUUAAAAAAAAACUUUAGCCACUAAUAAACAAUUUUAUGCUAAAUAUAAUUUACCUAUUGUAGUAAUCAACACUAACUAUAAUAGUAGAUUUCUUAGCCUACAAAAUAUCCCCAAUUUGUAUUACCACCAAGAUAAAUAAAAUAUUAUAGAAGGGAAACCAUUUAAACAUAUAUUUUAAUUUAUUAUUAAUACCUAACUAACAACAGUCAAUAAUACAUAAAUCUAAUACUUAUUUUUUUUUUUAAAUUACUGACAUACUAACAUCAAUUAAUAAUAUUAUUGUAAUAAAUAUAAUAUGUUUUAGUGUUUUAAUAAUCAUAAUUUUUCUCAGUUAUCAUGUGAAAAAAAAGAUAAUAUGUAACCUAGUAGGAAACCUGCAACUACAAUACAAAAUACAGAUUAAUUCAGAAACACAAUGGAUAAAAAUAAGAAGUUAUUAACCAUAACUAUAAAUAUGUAUUAAACUUGUAUGUGAAAUGUGAAUGUAUAUAUUAUGUAAGUAAUUUUAUUGGUAAUCAAAAAGAAAAUAUAUUAAUAAUAUUAUUCUCUUUCUUCCACUUAUCGUGUUCAAAAAUAUUAUUAUUCAAUUUAUUACCAAAUACAAUAGGUAAUAAUAGUAAAAAAAAAAAAACAAUCUGUAAAAAUAAUGUAGCUUAUCAUAAAUCUAUUAUCACUACUGAACUAUGAUUAUUAAAAAGAAACCAUAUUAGAGUAUUAGACAUACUACAUCUUAAGAAAAAUGGAUUAAUAUGUUAAUUUGAAUAGUGAUAAAUAAUUUUUUGUUUUCUAAAUAUCUAUAAUACCUUAGUUGUUUAGUGUACGCACAUGACAGUACCAACCAUUUGAAAAUCAAGUUAAAUGUUUUGAUUCGCAUAUUUGUAUACUGUAUUAGUUAUAUUGCUUAUUUCUUUUAUUAUAUAAAAAAAAUGCUAAUAAAUCAAAUAAAAUAUACAUAUCAAAUUUUAGUUUUUUUUAAGAAAAGUGUAAAACAAAUUGGUAUUUUACUUUUGAUGUCUAUGAUUAACCAAAAAAAAAAUAUAUGCAUUUCCUAGAACUUCUGAGUCCCAUUUAUAGUUAAUAAACUAAUUAUCCAAAAAUUGAUUUUAUUAGAUGUAAAUAUUCCAAGCUAUACCUAUUUUGUUUCAGAAUAUAAAAAUAUAUACUAUUAUUCAAAAGAACAAAAAAAAUUAUAUUUAUAAGUUAAAUAAAUAAUAAAUAAUGUUUAGUAUGGCUUAAAAGUAUUUAAGAUAUUUGUAUUUUUCGAAAUAAUGAAUGUUAUGCAGUAAAUAAGUACUCUAGGAUCUAGGAAAUUCAACACCGAGGGUCAAUAAAACUAUAGCGCUCUUAGAUAAAGCUAUACAUACGAUGUGUCAGGUUUCAACAUAAAACAAUAUUUUUAAAUACAAAUCAAAAAGUAUAUUUUUAUAUUACAAAUAUUUUUAUUGAAACUAUUAUUUUCAUUAAUUUAUGUUUAUAUUUGUAAAAUUAAUGUUAUAAAACAAAAUCAUAAUGUUUAAAUAACAUUGACUACUGAAUAAGAACAAAUGAACAAUACAAAAUGCAGUAUACACCAGAAAAAAAUUGUUUAAAGAUAUACUAUAAAUACAUAUUUAUUCAAAUAAUUUAUGUGUUAUAUUAUUUGUUCACAAUAGAAGUUUGGAAAUUUAUUAUAAUUUGUACAUAUUUUAUUAUACAUUUCAUGUUCAUGAUUUAUAUUUUCAUAAACUUAAUAAAAGUGUACUUAACAAUACAAGGACUUGUAUAAAUAUAUUUUGUAUCAUUAUUAGUUGAUACAAGUAACUAAAGAAAAAUUAAUUAAUUCUGUCUUAAUUAUGUAAGUAUUAAGAUAAUUAUUACAUUAUAUGUUUAACUUUUAUUGUACCAUGAUUUUAAUUGUAAUAAUAAAAUAAAAAACACACACACAAAAGGGUGUCAAGAUUUCCUAUUUACUCUAAUAUAAUUUUUACAUAAUUCAACUAUAAGUUUUUUACAAUUUUAUUUCUUAUUGAUAUCACAAAUAAUUUAUUCUUUAAGCGGUUUUUAAAAGAACCCGUUAUGAGUGUGUCAUUAAAUUAUCAACAGUGUUGGGUGGUAACAUAAGGCAGUUUGCGUUACACAAAUUACAAAUUGCAGUAACGACAUUACUUUUUCAGUAACGCAGCAGUAAUUUCAUUACAUUUUGCUUAAAGUAAAACAGUUGUAAUGAAAUUUCUUUUUAAAAGUAAUUUCUAUGAAGUAACGCACUUUGACGUUAUUUUCCACAUUAUUAAAAUAAUAGUUUUGAAUAUGUUUAAAUGUUUUGUAUUUACAAAAACAAGCUGAUACAUCGCGAUGGGAUAGGUAUUCUAGAAAAAUUAAAAAUUAAUUAUAAUAUAAUUGCUAACUUUUUUUUUUUUUUAAGAGCUACAUUGGAGUCAAUGAACUAUCAUUAGUUUGAUCCUAUAAGUAUGAAACAAAAGUCUGCAACUCUUGCUUGUCAGAGGCUAAAAGAUCGACAUACUUUUGAUGUUUUGGCUAAAGUUCUAACCUUUGGUCAUUAGAAACAAAUACACAACAAGAGUUGAAAACACUAAUGAUGAUGAAGAUGACAAUUAUAAUGAAGUAGAGAUGAUAGAAAUAGAUGAGAUUUUAGGCUUUAGCUAAUGGCCAUAAAAAAAAUCCAGAAUAUUCACUUCCACCUCAUCAUCGCUGCGCAAGUCACACUCUGAAUUUAGUUGCAACAAGAGACAGUGAAAAAGCAUUAUCUGAUGUAAUGUAUAAAAGACAGAUGAGAUCAACGUUUGCAAAAAUGCAAGGUUUGUGGAAGAAGCAAAGCAGAACAUUUGUAGUUGCAGAUAUUGUUCAUGACACAUUCAAUUUGUAUAUAACUGUACCAAAUACAACUCGAUGGAAUUCAACAUACAA